rnacentral:tRNA from 1 species
UCCGAUGUAGUCUAGUGGUUAUGAUUUGCGGCUCCCCACCCGCAGGCCCCGGGUUCGAUUCCCCGGCAUCGGAA